rnacentral:tRNA from 1 species
GGUGCUGUGGCUGAAAGGCAAAGCAUUGGAUUGCAAAUCCUUCUAUCCCAGUUCGAUUCUGGGCAGCACCU